GUCGAGGGGAAACGACAUCGAAAGCUUGCUUUUGAUGGGCGUCGACCGGCGCACGGGUGAGUAACGCGUAUCCAACCUGCCCACCACUUGGGGAUAACCUUGCGAAAGUAAGACUAAUACCCAAUGACGUCUCUAGAAGACAUCUGAAGGAGAUUAAAGAUUUAUCGGUGAUGGAUGGGGAUGCGUCUGAUUAGCUUGUUGGCGGGGUAACGGCCCACCAAGGCAACGAUCAGUAGGGGUUCUGAGAGGAAGGUCCCCCACAUUGGAACUGAGACACGGUCCAAACUCCUACGGGAGGCAGCAGUGAGGAAUAUUGGUCAAUGGGCGAGAGCCUGAACCAGCCAAGUAGCGUGCAGGAUGACGGCCCUAUGGGUUGUAAACUGCUUUUAUAAGGGAAUAAAGUGAGUCUCGUGAGACUUUUUGCAUGUACCUUAUGAAUAAGGACCGGCUAAUUCCGUGCCAGCAGCCGCGGUAAUACGGAAGGUCCGGGCGUUAUCCGGAUUUAUUGGGUUUAAAGGGAGCGUAGGCCGGAGAUUAAGCGUGUUGUGAAAUGUAGACGCUCAACGUCUGCACUGCAGCGCGAACUGGUUUCCUUGAGUACGCACAAAGUGGGCGGAAUUCGUGGUGUAGCGGUGAAAUGCUUAGAUAUCACGAAGAACUCCGAUUGCGAAGGCAGCUCACUGGAGCGCAACUGACGCUGAAGCUCGAAAGUGCGGGUAUCGAACAGGAUUAGAUACCCUGGUAGUCCGCACGGUAAACGAUGGAUGCCCGCUGUUGGUCUGAAUAGGUCAGCGGCC
rnacentral:rRNA from 1 species